UACGUAGGGUGCGAGCGUUUGUCCGGAAUUAUUGGGCGUAAAGAGCUCGUAGGCGGUGUGUCACGUCGUUCGUGAAAAACCUGCAGCUUAACUGUGGGCGUGCGGUCGAUACGGGGCAUCACUGGAGUUCGGCAGGGGAGACUGGAAUUCCUGGUGUAGCGGUGAAAUGCGCAGAUAUCAGGAGGAACACCGGUGGCGAAGGCGGGUCUCUGGGCCGAUACUGACGCUGAGGAGCGAAAGCGUGGGGAGCAAACAGG
rnacentral:rRNA from 1 species